rnacentral:rRNA from 1 species
UACAGAGGUCUCAAGCGUUGUUCGGAUUCAUUGGGCGUAAAGGGUGCGUAGGCGGCGCGGUAAGUCGGGUGUGAAAUUUCGAGGCUUAACUUCGAAACUGCAUUCGAUACUGCCGUGCUUGAGGACUGGAGAGGAGACUGGAAUUUACGGUGUAGCGGUGAAAUGCGCAGAUAUCAGGAGGAACACCAAUGGCGAAGGCAGCUCGCUGGAACGGUACUGACGCUGAGGCGCGAAAGCGUGGGUAGCAAACAGG